GACAGAGGGUGCAAACGUUGUUCGGAAUUACUGGGCGUAAAGCGAGUGUAGGCGGUUUCCUAAGUCAGGUGUGAAAGCCCCGGGCUCAACCCGGGAAGUGCACUUGAAACUGGGAGGCUAGAGUAUCGGAGAGGUUGGUGGAAUUCUCGGUGUAGAGGUGAAAUUCGUAGAUAAUCGAGAGGAACACCGGUGGCGAAGGCGGCCAACUGGACGAAUACUGACGCUGAGACUCGAAAGCGUGGGAGCAAACAGG
rnacentral:rRNA from 1 species